rnacentral:rRNA from 1 species
GACGAACGCUGGCGGCGUGCCUAACACAUGCAAGUCGAACGGAAACGUCCUGCCUUUGGGGGGUGGUCGGGGUGCCGACGGGGGAGUUACCCGUGGGUUAGCUGUCCCUGAUGUUGGGAUAACCUCAUGCAAGUUGGUCUAAUAACUGCUAGGAUCUCUCGCCGCAUGGUGGGGGUGGGUAAGAUUCGGCGGUUGGGGAUGGACUCGCUGCUUAUGAGGUUGUUGGUGGGGUAGUGGCAUACCAAGGUCUUGCGGGGUAGCCGGCCUGAGAGGGUGACCGGCCACAUUGGGACUGAGAUACGGCCCAGACUCCAACGGGAGGCAGCAGUGGGGAAUAUUGCACAAUGGGCGGAAGCCUGAUGCAGCAACGCCGCGUGCGGGAUGACGGCCUUCGGGUUGUAAACCGCUUUCGCCUGUGACGAAGCGUGAGUGACGGUAAUGGGUAAAGAAGCACCGGCUAACUACGUG